ACAGAGCCUGCCUGUUGGUCUCUACCCACAGGGGAUCCCCUGCUGCUCCACCAUCAGAUUUGGGACACCACCCCCCCCCCGGCCCCACCAGAGGGCAUCAGCUAUGCCUAGAAGGGGACCACAACAGACUCGACAGGAUCCACCGGUUGGGCCCAAGGCAGGAGGAAGGGCGGCGCCCCCAAACUCCCAGGACGCCUGCAGCACCCCCCACGCGCCGCUCUCCGCCUCUGGGGAGCAUCCUGCCACCCCCCGACACACACACCCCGGCUACAUCCCGCCUUCUCACGCUUGGUCAGGCGCUCUGGAGAUGUCGGAGAUCCAGGCUUUUCCUAAAGAGUCAGGAUUGGAAGGCGGUGAGGGCAUCAGGACUCCCACCGUUUGCUGAGCUCCACAUGACAACAGCAGACGACAGGCCGCACUGAUCCCACCUGGCUUACAGGUGCUGUCACACAGGCUCCCUUGCUCCUUCAUUCAACCAUUGUUUACAUGUCGUUCAGGACUGCUGACUAAACACUUUCAAGCACAGUGGACCCUUGAACAACGCAGGUUCAAACUGUGCAGGUCCACCCACAGGGAUGUUUUUCAAUCAGAGUUAUACCAAGUGUCCCUGCCUCUCCUGCCUCCCUUCCCACUUCCUCCAUGUCUUCCUCUCUGCCACCCUGAGGCAGCAAGACCAGCCCCUCCUCCUCAGCCACUCAACAUGAAGACAACGAGGAUGAAGACUUCUAUGAUAAUCCACUUCCACUUAGUAAAUGCUUUCUCUUAUGAUAUUCUUAAUGACAUUUUAUUUUCCCAAGCUUAGUUUAUUGUAAGAAUACAGUAUAAAUACACAUACAAAGUACGUGUUAACUGAUUUUUUAAUGUUACCAGUAAGGCUUCCAGUUAACAGUAGGCUAUUUAUUAGUUAAGUUUGGAGGGAGCCUGAAGUUAUACAAGCUCUGACUGCGUGAGGGGUUGGCUCUCCAACCCUCACAUUGUUCAAGGCUCAACUGCACCUCUCCUACCUAUCUCCCCCACCCUCUGAUGUAGUAGGAUAAAUAUAAAAACACUUAGAAAUCCUUGAAAACCAGGAAAAAUGCCACCAACAGACUAGAACAUUGGAGAAUUUCUGGAAGAUAUAAAGCGGAGGAGAUCAGAUUCGUGGUGAAACGCAAUAGAGCCAAUGGCCUGCAGGUGGGAGACCAUUUCAAGUCUGGAAAUGGGGUAGGGUGGGGGCAGUGGAGAAGGAAUGAGUCAUGGAGCUUGGAUACGGUAAUCACACAAACGGCUACCCAGGUGGCUGAGGCAGUGUCCUGCCUGUCCCCAGGGUAAAGUCUGAGUGCAGCAUUCAGACUGAAGACAAAGAUGCACCGGGAGCCUCCAGAGCCAACACUGGCCCAAAGAGAGAAGCAGGGGCCCGCCCAGGUGACUGCCAGGCACUGUCAGCCACACUGACAGGGAGAGCGGCCCAGAUGAGAGGCCCAGGAAGGCACUCUGCCUUUGCAACGUCCUGGCCUGUCUCCAUGACCACAGGUGCCCAGUGGUGCCAGGGUUGCCAGACAGUGGUGGUUUAGUUGUGUGCAAGAACUACUCUGCACAGCAAGAAUGAUUGGUUGAGACUGACAGAUCGCAAACACACUGCAUUCAGGAACCCUUCACCCUCUCUUAGAAAUGGCUGAGGGUCUCAGCGGGCUUUCAUUCAUAUGAGUUUAUCUAUCAAUAUUUACGGUAGUAGAAGUUCAAGUGAAAAAUAAAUAAAUAUUCAUUUAUCUUAAAAUAAUAAUGGCAUGUUAACAUAAAUAACACUUAUACAUGCUGGGUGUGGUGGCUCACGCCUGUAAUCCCAGCACUUUGGGAGGCCGAGGCGGGCGAGUCACCUGAGGUCGGGAGUUUGAGACCAGCCUGACCAACAUGGUGAAACCCCAUCUUUACCAAAAAUACAAAAAAUUAGCCAGGUGUGGUGGUGCGUGGCUGUAAUCCCAGCUACUCAGGAGGCUGAGACAGGAGAACCGCUUGAACCCGGGAGGCAGAGGUUGCAGUGAGUUGAGAUGGUGCCACUGCAUUGCAGCCCGGGCAACAAGAGUGAAACUCUGUCUCAAAACAAAACAAACAAAACAAAAAAACUCCCCAAUGUCUGGCUUAAUAGCUGGAUUUUCUUUUUUGUUGUUGUAUUUUUUUAUUUUUAUGUAUUUAUGCAUUUAAUUUUUAUGUAUUCAUAUGUAUUUAAUUUUUUAAAUUUAUUUAUUGAGACAGAGUCUCACUCUGACACCCAGGCUGCAAUGCAGUGGCACAAUCUUGGCUCACUGCAACCUCUGCCUCCCAGUUCAAGCAAUCCUCCUGCCUCGGCCUCCCAAGUAGCUGGGAUUACAGGAAUGCACCACCACGCCUAGCUUUUUUUUUUUUUUUUUUUGUAUUUUUAGUAGAGAUGGCGUUUCACCAUGUUGGCCAGGCUGGUCUCAAACUCCUGACCUCAAGUGGUCUGUCUGCCUCAGCCUCCCAAAGUGUUGAGAUUACAGGCAGGAGCCGCCAUGCCCAGCCAACAGCUGGAUUUUCAUACCUCCUUCUUUCAAGCUAUAGUGAUAACACACAUCAUGUAGACUCUGGAAAACUCCACUGAACACCCAUUUGUAUAUGUGCUGCUGAAGUGAGCACCUGAACACCCAUUAGGAAAAACAAGUCUUUUUUAUUCCUAUUAAAUAGUUUUGGCUUUGCAGACACCCAGAAAGAGUCUUAAGAACCCUUAGGGGUCCAUGGAUCUCACUUUGAAAACCACUCUCUGGACGUUCAUUUACAAAUGGGAUCAGACAAUCAAAAAUCCCCAGACAUUUGAAGGAAACCAACAGCCUGCAGAAGAAGUAGACAGAACGCUGGAGAAAACAGGAUAAUAAUGCAGGAAUCAGAAGAAGACAUUAAAAUCAGCAUAAUUCAUAUCCUUUGAAAGGUUCAAUAAAAUAUAACAACCAGUUAGAUGGCAAGUGGGCACAGAGCAAAUACACAAAAAUCAAUACUUUCCAUAGAUACCAUUAAAUAAUCAAUAGGAGAGGACAUUUGCAAUACCAACAACAAUCAUAAAUAAUCUAGGCAUAGGCAUAACCAAAAUUCUGGAGAACCUACAUGAAGAAAAAUGUUUAAUCGUAUUAAAGGACAUAAAUUGAGAGAUGUAUUAUGUUUCCCGUAGGAAGCUUCAAUAUUGUAAAAGUGGCAAUUAUUUGAGUUGCUCCGUGAACUGUCCUCUGCAUUAUACUAGGUUGAGUGGGAUUUCUGUCAAGAGUAUGCACCAAGAGUCAUAACUAAUAUAUCUUGUAGGUCAGCAGUCCCCAGCCUUUUUGGCACCAGGGACCAGUUUCAUGGAAGACAAUUUUUCCACAGACACAGGCUGAGCGGGGGAUGGUUUCAGGGUGAACCUGUUCCACCUCAGAUCAUCAGGCAUUAAGAGUCUUUUAAGGAAUGUGCAACCUAGAUCCCUCAUACGCACAGUUCACAGUAGGGUUUGUGCUCCUAUGAGAAUCUAAUGUCGCUGCUGGUCUGACAGGAGGCGGAGCUCAGGUGGUCAUGCUCCCGCGCCUGCUACUCAUCUUCUGCUAUGUAGCCUGGUUCUUAACAAACCACAGACAGGGAAUAGUCUGCAGCCCCGGGUUUGGGGACCACUGCUCUAGGUUGAAAGCCGCUCCAAAUAAAAUAAAGAGACAAGUGACUGAUUACAAGAUGUUUGCAAGAUAUAUAAUAGUCAAAAGGUUAAUAUACUUAAUAUAUAACAUUCCUGGAGUCAUAACAUUUUAAGACAAAGAACCUUAAAAUACAGGCAGAUAAUAGAAGCUAAAUGACAAGUAUCUACAUGCAUGAAAACGAAUCAACCUCUGAAUUAGUUAGGGUAAAGCUCACCUGCUCUAACAAAGAGGCCUGAUGAUACAGAGGCUAGAAGAAUAAACAGAUUUGUUUCUGUAUUAGGUUCUCCAGAGAACAGAACCAAUAGGAGAAACACACACACACACACACAUAUAUAUAUGAUAAGUAUGUGUAUAUUUAUCUAAUAUAUAUUAUAGAUCUAUAUUAGACAUUACAUAGGCUAUAUAUAUACACAGACACACAUGCACACACAUUUAUUUUAAGGAAUUUUGAAGAAUUUAUUUUAGGGAACUGUUGUAAGGGAUUCAUUUUAAGGAAUUGGCUUCUGCGGUUGUGGAGGCUUGGCAAAUCCAAAAUCUGCAGAGUAAGCCGGUAGGCUGGAGACCGAUAUUACAAGUUGGAGUUCACAAGCAGUUGGCCAGCAGAAUUCCUCCUUGCUCAGAGCAGGUCAGUCUCUUUUCUCUUAAGGUCUUCAACUGAUGGGAUGAGAUCUGCCCACAUUGUGGAGAAUAAUCUGCUUUACUCAAAAUCUUCUGAUUUAAAUGCUAAUCUUAUCUUAAAAAGUACUUUCACCGGUUGUGGUAGCUCAGGCCUGUAAUCCCAGCACUUUGGGAAGCCAAGGUGGGCAGAUCACUUCAGGUCAGGAGACCAGCCUGGCCAACAUGGUGAAACCCCAUCUCUACUAAAAAUACAAAAAUUAGCCAGGCAUGGUGGCACAUGCCUGUAAUCCCAGCUACUUGGGAGGCUGAGGCACGAGAAUCACUUGAACCUGGGAGGUGGAGGUUGCAGUGAGCCAAGAUUGUGCCACCGCACUCCAGCCUGGGCAACAGAGUGAGACUGUCUCAAUCAAUCAAUCAAUUAAUCAAUACCUUCAUAAAAACAUCUAGAAUAGUGUCUAAUCAAAUAUCUGAGCGAUGUAGCCAGAUAUUUAAGUUAACACAUAAAAUGUGCCAUCCCUCUUUCUUUCUCAGGUUAUGGAUCUGAGCUGAGCAGCAGCUCUGCUCCUCCUGGUCCCCCCAAACCCCAGGACCCUUCUCUCCUGCUGCUCGCCUCCCCUUGGGCACUGCCACAGCCAGAUUCUAGGCAGCUUGGAGGCCGAGGUACAGAAGAGGCUCCUAUCACAGGCCUGCUCUUACUCUGUCACUGAGAACUUGGUCCUGUGGACAAGCCUAACUGUAAAGCAGGCUGGAAUUGUAGUUGAGCUCAGCAGCUGCUGCCCAGCCACAGAUCUGUUGGGUUGGAAGAAAAGGAACAUGGAUUGUUUUUUCCCUUUAGUGGAGGUGAGGUCUUGCUAUGUUGCCCAGGUUGGCUUGAAUUCCUGAGUUCAAGCGAUCUUCCUACCUUAGCCUCCCAAAGUGCUAGGAUUACAGGCAUGAGCAAACCAAGAAGUCUCUACCCAACCUCCCUGUUAAAAAGGAAAUGUAAACUAAAUCCAUGAACUACUUUCUUUUUUUUUGCUUAUCAGAUUGGCAAAAAUUAAAAGUUUGUAAUCAGUUGUAUGUAUCAGACAGGAGGGUUCUUAACCCAUAGUAACAACUACAGAAAAAGAUCUUAUUUUGGAGGGCACUCCGAAUCUUGAGGAUGCAGGAGGAACAGGCUUGGAAAAUGAGCAGGUGUCAAGAGGCCUCCCUAGGUCAAUGGCAGAAGCAGGCUUGCUUGGACACUUUGGCCAUGGGACAUGAUGCCACAGCUGGACAGAGUCAUGGCCAGGCAAUGCCACUAGCACCCCCAUUGGACAUUCUCUGCCUGUCCCAGGUCUGCAGAUGCAGGGCCCUGGGGUUCUCUGCCCAAAUGUCACCGUGCCCAUUACCAGGGCCAUCUGGGCCUGUUGAAGCUUCCCUCUUCCUCACUCUAUGACCUGAAGGGGAUGGAGGGUCCUUUUCUGGUGGGGUGGGGGUGGGGGUUGGGGAGGUGGAGGUCCAGUAUGGAGCUUGAACCGGCAGGCUGGUGUAAGGUCCCCACUCUUUUGGAGGGUUUUACUAAUGUCUCUAGGAAUCUCAAACACACGGCCAGGCGCGGUGGCUCACGCUUGUAAUCCCAGAACUUUGGGAGGCCGAGGCGGGUGGAUCACAAUGUGAGGAGUUCAAGACCAGCCUGGCCAACACAGUGAAACCCUAUCUCUACUUAAAAUACAAAAAUCAGCUGGGCAUAGUGGCAGGCCUGUAAUCCCAGAUAUUUGGGAGGCUGAGGCAGGAGAACCGCUUGAACCCAGGAGGCGGAGGUUGCAGUGAGCUGAGAUCGUGCCACUGCACUCCAGCCUGGGCGACAGAGCUAGACUCCAUCUCAGAAAAAAAAAGAAAAAAGAAAAAUCUCAAUGCCACAUAGCCAGUAGUUCCUCUUCUAGGAAUCUUCCAUUGGUUGCAGAAAAGAACAUAUUCUUAGUGUAAACAGUAAUUCAUGGAAUAAUACGCAUAUAAAAGUGGGAGGCCUCGUUGUUAACCUUAUGAGCUCUGGAGUCAGGCUCAAAUUCUGACUUCUGUACUUAGUAGCUGUGUGAUCCUGGGCAGGCUACUUAACCUCUCUGUGCCUUAGGCGCCUCAUCUGAAAAAUGCGAGUAAUAGUAAUAAACUUUACUGAGGUUCGUGGUGAUUAAAUUAAUAUUUGCAAAGUGCUCAGAACUAGAUCUUGGCAUUUGAUGAAUACUGAUUACCCAUUAAUUCUUUUUAUGAUAUCCUGACCCCGUUUCUUCCAUACAAAGCAGGUUAACAUGCAUCCGUGCAUGUUGGUAUGUGCCCAGAACUGUACACACGCACCCAUUAACAAUGGCUGCCUGGAAGUAGGGGUAAGAAGGAAGUGUGAGUAUCCAUGUCCCUUUGUGAUAGAUUUAUUUGUGAAUUACUGUAACUUCCUACAUCAGGCACUGACACUUGUGGACAGGUGGGUAGGUAAUAGGUAGUAGCUAUACACAGGGGUGAACAAGGACCAAGCAGGCAAAGCCCCUGCCCUGGCACAGGGGACUCUUCCAGGUCUAACUCAGGCAGUGUAAGAACGCCCCAAGGGGCCUGGGAUGCCCAGGAGCAGGGAAAGGGACUGAGGACCGGCGCUUCCCAGUGCCAGGCCACGGCACUCAGCAUUAGCCACCCUGCUCCUGGAGGUUCUGGGGCCAGAUGUCCCCCCAAGUACGCACGGUCAUUCAGUGAACAAGUGCUCUCAUCUGGAAGCGCACACGCCUCCGGCGGGCUGAACUGUGGAGAGGGUCCAGGCUCCACAGCGAACCGCCUCCCAGCAACCGGGCUCGCCCAUCGGAGGCAGAGGUCUGGCAGGAAGGGCUGGGAAGGGCGGGGUCGGUGCGGCCUGACCCCUACACCCCUUAGGCCUGGAGGCGGAUGUGCACUUCGCCCAUUUCAACAUUUCCUCCCCGGCUGGCCUCGGCCCAGGAAAGAGGCAGGGGUGCGGUUUCCCUCCGCCUCUCCCUCAGCCCUUCUCUCCCGCACCCCUCCUCCUCCUCCCACCGCUCCUUCCUCUCCUCCUUUCCCGCACCCCUCCUUUCUUUCUCGCUCAUCUCUCUGCCCUCCUUGCCCCCUUCUUCUGCCCCUCCCCCUCCGCCUCCCCCUUCCCCUCCGCCUCCCCCUCCCCCUCCCCGGGUCCUCUCCCUCCCGUUCCCCCGCCUUGCCCUCCUCCUCCUCCUCGCGGCCCCCGCCCCGGAAACCUGGCUCGCCCCGGGAGGCUGAGGUGGGGCGCGCGGGGUGGUUCAGGGGCCCAUCCUCUCCGCCUCCCGCGCGCCCCGCCCGACGGCUCGCACCUGCUUGGCGGCGGCCGCUGGAUUCUCGGCCUCGGGCUGAGGAGGCAGGAGGGAAAGUGGGUCAGCGCGGGGCCGCGGCAGGGCUGCUGUUGUGCUUGGAAAGGGGCCCGGGGUGCCGGAGGCCUCUCCCAGGCGCGGCGGCAGGAGCGCCCGCGCGUGACACUCCAGGCACAAAGGGGCCGGGCCGCCGCCUGCACUGGGGCUCGGGCGUGCGGGGAGAGGCUGUCGGGCGCCGCACGCAUGGACUGUGUUCCCCUUCCCGGCCACGGCUCGGGGCGGCGGGGGCCCGGGGCUCUCCUGUCCCCGAGCGAUGUCCCCAAGGCCUAACACCGCGAGCCGGAGCUAGCAGGCGCCCACCACGCCCGCUCUUCGUUCGCCCCACCCGGGCUAGGUCUGGGCGGCUCCCUCCUCCGGACGCUGUCCCCGCCGCCCCGCCCUGCCCCCUGGUGUCAGCCACAGGCCUCAGCAGCCUGGCGUCCUCCUCCUGGGAGCAUUUUUCUGACACCUCUGGGGGACCCGGUCCCCUGACCCCUACGCUCAUGCGGUCUGCCCAGGUCUUGGGGGGGCGUUGGCUCUGUUUCCGGGAAACCUCCGAGGCUGAUACCUGGCAGCAGCCCUGCGGAGGACUGCCCAGCCACUCACCUCCCGACCACCGUGCACCCCAGCAGCUCUGGGACGCCGGGCUCUGUGGGUGGGCUGGGUCGGGCUGCAGACAUGGGUCACUGUCCUAGAGCAAGGACUGGCUGCGAGAGCAAGGAGGGGACCAGGCCUUUGAGAUGUCAGUCCCCAAGCUCCCCUCUGCUGUCCCCUGCACAGGAGCAGAAGGGCAUGGCCUGAGGGUCAGGGUGCCUCAGCUGGCUUCCUGCACUGCCGCACACCUUGUCCUGUGCCCCCCGCCCCCCGCGUGCUAGGACCUCACCGUCCUAACAUGCCCAGAACUCUGGCUACUGCUGGAGCUGGGCCUCCUUCCUGGAGAGCCUAUCCCCUGGGUCACCUGAUGAAUGUUUCACCCUGUUCCAGAAGCUUUCCAAAUCUCUCGCCAGAAUGCCUCUCCAGCCCUUGGCUCCUGUUGCACAAUCUGCAUCCUUCUGUGCCCACGCCUGGUGCAGGCCUCUUCUCAGGCUCUGGGAGGCUGGCCUCUGUGAACGCUGGGCUGAGCCAGCUUCUGACCCAGGAGGGGCCCAGGGCUGCAACAUUCUCACCCUGCUCCAGGUUUGAGAAGGUAUUUCCAUGGGAAGCUUGUGUCAAAUGCGUACCCUUCCUGUGUGUCCUCACGUGUGUGCAGCAGUAACUGCACAAGGCUAUAGUCGGCACUGCUGAGCCUGGGGUAGCCCCUGAGCUUGUCUGAACCCAGCUGAGUGGAGCUCGAUUGACAGGCAAGUGUUUGGUGUCCCCCUGGCUUGUAGAAGGGCCGAUGUUAGCUCCUGAGACCACCAUGUGUCUACUGCGAAAGGACAGCUGGACACCUGCAAGCCUCCUACAGAUAGGGGAAGGAGGGAAUGGGGAGAAGGGGAAAAUCAGUAAAAUACGACCUUUUCCAGCACCUGGGAGAGAAGGUGCUCUUGCACCAAGAGCCAGACACUGCUCUCCUGGGGGAGGGGGCCAUCUUUCCCGGCUUCAUCCCUCUCCCUGGCCUGGGAGGGAGGAGGAGACCCCCACUGGGCCAUUCCAGGCAGGUGCUCAGCCAGUGGGCACCCUGGUCAAGCAAGCCUGGGUGCUCCAAGGUGAAAGGAACCUUAAACCCAUUGGACUAGGACCCCAACCUUCUUACCACCCUCAUCCAGGGACCCUUGUUUUG
rnacentral:lncRNA from 1 species